CCUACGGGAGGCAGCAGUGAGGAAUAUUGGUCAAUGGACGGAAGUCUGAACCAGCCAUGCCGCGUGCAGGAAGACGGCUCUCUGAGUUGUAAACUGCUUUUGUACAAGGGUAAACCUGCAUACGUGUAUUCGGCUGAAAGUACUGUACGAAUAAGGAUCGGCUAACUCCGUGCCAGCAGCCGCGGUAAUACGGAGGAUCCAAGCGUUAUCCGGAUUUAUUGGGUUUAAAGGGUGCGUAGGCGGAUUGAUAAGUUAGAGGUGAAAUGUCCGAGCUUAACUCGGGAACUGCCUCUAAUACUGUUGAUCUAGAGAGUAGAUGCGGUAGGCGGAAUGUAUGGUGUAGCGGUGAAAUGCUUAGAGAUCAGACAGAACACCGAUUGCGAAGGCAGCUUACCAAUCUAUAUCUGACGUUGAGGCACGAAAGCGUGGGGAGCAAACAGGAUUAGAUACCCGGGUAGUC
rnacentral:rRNA from 1 species